rnacentral:lncRNA from 1 species
UCAUACAUGAACAUUCAUCAAUACCCAUAAAGCAUUAAACACAAAGAUUGAUUGAAUAACGAAUUGAAUUAAUCAAAAGAGUAUUAAUUCAAAGACCUAACAUAUAAACCCAUAGAUUCAUACAAGUUCAUCUUACAAAACCAAUCAAAAGAGAACUAGCUACUCAUAAUGAAAACAAAAGAAGAAAUAAAGAAACUAAAACCAAUUAAUAAGGUGUCAGCUUGUAGCUUGGAGUUGUUCCUUCAUUCCUUCAAGUGCCCCACGCACUAUUCAUGUUUUUCUCCUCCUCUCCGUGCUAUCCUUCCCCAGCGUAGCUCCUCUUGUUAUAUGCAAAAAUAUGCAUUGAAUUCUCCUGUAUCUUCUUGGGCCACUUUAGCAUGUUGCAUUUUCUUGGGCUAUUCAUCAGUCUGUUUUCUAUUCGCACCAACCCAUUACACUAAAACACUUGUUAAUAUAAUUUUUGCACUCAACCAUAAACAUGUUAAGUUGAACCAAGAAAAUAAAAACUACA